CAGACCGCCGUGCGACCACCC
rnacentral:siRNA from 1 species